UACGAAGGGGGCUAGCGUUGCUCGGAAUCACUGGGCGUAAAGCGCACGUAGGCGGCUUCUUAAGUCAGGGGUGAAAUCCUGGAGCUCAACUCCAGAACUGCCUUUGAUACUGAGAGGCUUGAGUCCGGGAGAGGUGAGUGGAACUGCGAGUGUAGAGGUGAAAUUCGUAGAUAUUCGCAAGAACACCAGUGGCGAAGGCGGCUCACUGGCCCGGUACUGACGCUGAGGCACGAAAGCGUGGGGAGCAAACAGG
rnacentral:rRNA from 1 species